GAUGAACGCUGGCGGCGUGCCUAAUACAUGCAAGUCGAGCGAACGGACGAGAAGCUUGCUUCUCUGAUGUUAGCGGCGGACGGGUGAGUAACACGUGGAUAACCUACCUAUAAGACUGGGAUAACUUCGGGAAACCGGAGCUAAUACCGGAUAAUAUUUUGAACCGCAUGGUUCAAAAGUGAAAGACGGUCUUGCUGUCACUUAUAGAUGGAUCCGCGCUGCAUUAGCUAGUUGGGUAAGGUAACGGCUUACCAAGGCAACGAUGCAUAGCCGACCUGAGAGGGUGAUCGGCCACACUGGAACUGAGACACGGUCCAGACUCCUACGGGAGGCAGCAGUAGGGAAUCUUCCGCAAUGGGCGAAAGCCUGACGGAGCAACGCCGCGUGAGUGAUGAAGGUCUUCGGAUCGUAAAACUCUGUUAUUAGGGAAAAACAUAUGUGUAAGUAACUGUGCACAUCUUGACGGUACCUAAUCAGAAAGCCACGGCUAACUACGUGCCAGCAGCCGCGGUAAUACGUAGGUGGCAAGCGUUAUCCGGAAUUAUUGGGCGUAAAGCGCGCGUAGGCGGUUUUUUAAGUCUGAUGUGAAAGCCCACGGCUCAACCGUGGAGGGUCAUUGGAAACUGGAAAACUUGAGUGCAGAAGAGGAAAGUGGAAUUCCAUGUGUAGCGGUGAAAUGCGCAGAGAUAUGGAGGAACACCAGUGGCGAAGGCGACUUUCUGGUCUGUAACUGACGCUGAUGUGCGAAAGCGUGGGGAUCAAACAGGAUUAGAUACCCUGGUAGUCCACGCCGUAAACGAUGAGUGCUAAGUGUUAGGGGGUUUCCGCCCCUUAGUGCUGCAGCUAACGCAUUAAGCACUCCGCCUGGGGAGUACGACCGCAGGGUUGAAACUCAAAGGAAUUGACGGGGACCCGCACAAGCGGUGGAGCAUGUGGUUUAAUUCGAAGCAACGCGAAGAACCUUACCAAAUCUUGACAUCCUUUGACAACUCUAGAGAUAGAGCCUUCCCCUUCGGGGGACAAAGUGACAGGUGGUGCAUGGUUGUCGUCAGCUCGUGUCGUGAGAUGUUGGGUUAAGUCCCGCAACGAGCGCAACCCUUAAGCUUAGUUGCCAUCAUUAAGUUGGGCACUCUAAGUUGACUGCCGGUGACAAACCGGAGGAAGGUGGGGAUGACGUCAAAUCAUCAUGCCCCUUAUGAUUUGGGCUACACACGUGCUACAAUGGACAAUACAAAGGGCAGCGAAACCGCGAGGUCAAGCAAAUCCCAUAAAGUUGUUCUCAGUUCGGAUUGUAGUCUGCAACUCGACUACAUGAAGCUGGAAUCGCUAGUAAUCGUAGAUCAGCAUGCUACGGUGAAUACGUUCCCGGGUCU
rnacentral:rRNA from 1 species